UACGUAGGUGGCAAGCGUUAUCCGGAAUUAUUGGGCGUAAAGAGCGCGCAGGUGGUUGAUUAAGUCUGAUGUGAAAGCCCACGGCUCAACCGUGGAAGGUCAUUGGAAACUGGGGAACUUGAGUGCAGAAGAGGAGAGUGGAAUUCCAUGUGUAGCGGUGAAAUGCGUAGAUAUAUGGAGGAACACCAGUGGCGAAGGCGACUCUCUGGUCUGUAACUGACGCUGAGGCUCGAAAGCGUGGGGAGCAAACAGGAUUA
rnacentral:rRNA from 1 species